UGUGGCAUGAUUUACAGAUACCGGGAGUGGGAGGAGGGUAUCCACAACUUUGAUGACUUUGAUUAAAAGUUUUGCUUUAUUGAGUGAAGUUUGAGCAUUUAAUAUUCAGCUAUUGUUGUCUUUUUACAGGAUAAUGCAGCCAGUCUACAGUGGAUUAUUCUCCCAGUGUCCCUACCUGGACAUUGGACACUCACACUGUGUAUACCUUUAUAUUUUCUUCCUAUUUUUUCUUUACACAACAAGUUGCUCAUUGCUGAAUUGAAUGUUUUUCUAUAAUUAAAUGCAGGUCAGCUCUGUUGGGCAUCCAGGAACAUUACACAACUCACUGCAACUGGUUAUAUUUGAAUUUGAAUAUUUAACUGAUACUGAGGCCACAGGCUAGGGAGAUUUUCUUCCUAGAUUCCCUCUGGGGCAGCGGUUGGAGAGAUGAGAGUAGAACCAGUCUGUUCAGGUUUUUAGGUCACCUCACAUAAUCCUUUCUGGACAGUGGUAGUUCUGUUUUAAACCACCACCUUUUGUUUGUUUUGUUUCUUUUUUUAUUUGAUCUAAAAUAUUCCAUUCCAUAUUCCAACUAUUUUGAUUCCAUAAACAGAUGGAAACAGAACUAUUUAUCUUUUUUGAGACGGGCAGUUCUGUUUAAGCCCGUUAUGAAAACUUUUUUAUUUGAAGUUCCAACCUCUUCCUUAUUGAGUCCAAGCUUUGUUCCAAGCGUUUAUGCAUGCUUUUCAAUCAAAAGUUGAUUGAAGUAGAGUUACUUUCAUUUACUUUGCUUGUUAUUUGUACAGACACGUUGCCCACAGCCUCUCUUCUGGCCCCUGGAAGAGCUUAGUGUGAAUGAUGUCCAGGUGAGACAUUACAUAAUAGCAUUUGCUAACUUUUUACUGUUUUCUCGCCAUACCUUUAUUAAAAUACAUUGUUCACACCUCAGGGCCUAACAAAGCAAGAGUGCUCCAACAACUGUGGCCGUGUUUGUUUUGAUGUACACUCUGUACAUUGUAAUGGGGGCCAAUUGUGAUUUCAGAGAGGAAAACAUGCUGCAAAUUAGGAGAUGGGGGUGUCUCGCUCUCCUGCAGAACUUCCCCAUGUCGUAAGAGCCCUGAAUAUCGCACGUUUGAAUCAAAUCACAAAAAAACAGUUUUACUCACUGUCAACAGACCAACAUGAAUGUUUUCAAAGUGAAUGUAUGU